rnacentral:rRNA from 1 species
UACGUAGGGGGCAAGCGUUGUCCGGAUUUAUUGGGCGUAAAGAGCGUGUAGGCGGCUUUACAGGUCCGUUGUGAAAACUCGAGGCUCAACCUCGAGACGCCGGUGGAAACCGUAAAGCUAGAGUCCGGAAGAGGAGAGUGGAAUUCCUGGUGUAGCGGUGAAAUGCGCAGAUAUCAGGAAGAACACCCGUGGCGAAGGCGGCUCUCUGGGCAUGUCCUGACGCUGAGGAGCGAAAGUGUGGGGAGCGAACAGG